CUGAGGAGGAGUCAAAGCACAUACAGAGGUGACCAAAAUCUCUAUGGGAAUGUCCAGCUCCCUCUGACAACUCCGGUGACUCAACCCCUGACCUCUGACCUAUUUGAAAAGCCUGCCGAGCCAGUCGCAGAGGUUAAGACCCUUCCUGAGCACCCUGAGAAAUAAACCCCUCCUGUUCUGGUGGUCCUGGAUGAGGGGGAAGAAGAUUUCUGAAUAUUCCAAAUAAAGGCAGUCCAAUUGACAAUCCCUACACCUAUGCCAA